UACGGGGGGAGCAAGCGUUGUUCGGAUUUACUGGGCGUAAAGGGCGCGUAGGCGGCCCUGCCAAGUCGCUUGUGAAAUCUCUGGGCUUAACCCAGAGCGGCCAAGCGAUACUGACGGGCUAGAGUGCGGAAGGGGCAAUCGGAAUUCUCGGUGUAGCGGUGAAAUGCGUAGAUAUCGAGAGGAACACCUGUGGCGAAGGCGGAUUGCUGGGCCGACACUGACGCUGAGGCGCGAAAGCUA
rnacentral:rRNA from 1 species